rnacentral:rRNA from 1 species
CUUGACACUGAACACUGGUCCUUGAUGUGUAGGAUAGGUGGGAGGCUUUGAAGCGUGGACGCCAGUCUGCGUGGAGCCAUCCUUGAAAUACCACCCUUUAAUGGCUGGUGUUCUAACGUAGACCCGUAAUCCGGGUUGCGGACAGUGUCUGGUGGGUAGUUUGACUGGGGCGGUCUCCUCCCAAAGAGUAACGGAGGAGCACGAAG